AACCCCUGUCUAUGCAGGGAGUUCCAGAAAAGCUUUUUAGCGAGGUAAUAAGAAACCUCCUUCUUGCGUGAGAUAAAGAGUUGGUUUCCCAACCACUUUAUCUCACGCAAGAAGGA
rnacentral:sRNA from 1 species